rnacentral:lncRNA from 1 species
CUCUACUAUCAUACAGGAAAACGAAAUGUAAAAUUGAAUCGGGAGAUAUGAUUUUCAAUCUAAGCUUUACCUGGAUCUCUAAGAAACCUAUGGAAUCUACGUCCAGAUGAAGGACCCUUAUCCAAAUUGGAGCAACCAAUAUGUCUUAGAAAUUACACUCACAUGAAUCAAUUAAUAAUUCUAAUCUAUAAGUUAUAACUAUGGCAUUAAAAAUGAAUUACAUUUGAAUAAAAUAAUUCUUAGAUUAAGAGGUUAAGAAUCUCAUUUUUUUUAAAUCUACAAUACCAACUUGAGUAAUUAUAUUCAAAUCUGACGACAUAAAAAAAGUUGACCUAUCAGUUUAUUUCUUUUAGCUGACGUUGAAAAUAACAUACCCCCCCCCCCUCAUUCAUUCCUGAAAACCGAAGAUUUUAAUCUACUACUGCCUUACUAUGCCAAACUGCCAAUAGAAAUUCCUUGUCGCCUCUAUGUAUUUCUUUCUCUAUGGAGUUACCCAUUUGAAGCCAUAAAUGGCCUUCGUUUUUGUGUGGAUGCCGUAAAGUCAUUAAUUAUUUUUAUUAUCUGUUUUAGAGAAGAGGGUGUCAAUAGAUCAAACUAUAGAUUAAACAUUGGAGCAACGUCGAAUGGGCCCACGGUAUCGAAUUACAUGACUCAACGUAUCGAUUAGCUGCUGCUGCGAUUUUUGUCAAUAUACAUGUUAUAGUUAUUCGUCUCAAAAUAAAAGAUAAUUUUAAUUAAUUAAUCUCUUUUUUAAGUUCCGGUACUAUAAUUUUGAUAUACCUAUCGAAUACGACGCUAGAUGAUUACUACUAGAAUUGUAUUUAUGUAAUCAGGGAACACCACCCUCCCUCAAUUAUCCCUACAACGAUAAAUAAUGUGCCCCCUUCUCCAAUGUAUUUGAGCUUACGAAGUCAAAGCAUUCGUUAGAUUUAGAGGAAUAGAAAUUGUAAGAACAGGGUCUUUCUUAUACUGGAUCCCUCAAAUUCUGAAACCAGCACAGCUCAAAAAAAUCAAUGAUCGUACGAUAGUGACUAAUUUUGUUAUCAACAUAACCGCUAUUUUUAAUAAAAUAUAAUCCACUGUGAUCGUUUAUAAGCUACCCUAUUUAUAUUAUUACAAUAUACAUCUUUCAAUAAUGUGCA